UCUGCCAACUAGAGUGGAAAAGAUGGUC
rnacentral:piRNA from 1 species